rnacentral:rRNA from 1 species
AUUGAACGCUGGCGGCAGGCCUAACACAUGCAAGUCGAGCGAGUGGCGGACGGGUGAGUAAUGUCUGGGAAACUGCCUGAUGUAGGGGGAUAACUCCUGGAAACGGUAGCUAAUACCGCAUACCCUCAGAUGUGCCCCGAUGGGAUUAGCUAGUAGGUGGGGUAAUGGCUCACCUAGGCGACGAUCCCUAGCUGGUCUGCGAGGAUGACCAGCCACACUGGAAAUGAGACACGGUCCAGACUCCUACGGGAGGCAGCAGUGGGGAAUAUUGCAAAAGGGGCGCAAGCCUGAUGCAGCCAUGCCGCGUGUGUGAAGAAGGCCUUCGGGUUGUAAAGCACUUUCAGCGAGGAGGCGUUACUCGCAGAAGAAGCACCGGCUAACUCCGUGCCAGCAGCCGCGGUAAUUC